rfam:Daucus carota subsp. sativus cultivar DH1 chromosome 7, whole genome shotgun sequence.
GAGCCAAUGAGGAUUUACAUAUUAAUGUUGGAAUUACCGACUGAUAUACCUUGAUGUCAACCCAUCGACCAUCUGAGGCUUCUU